GUCCACUGCAGCAGAAUCUCUGAUGCCACUUAAUUAGCUGUGUCACUGAACUAUAGGUUCCUCAUUUGUGAAAACAAAACAAUGGACCAGUGAGCUCUGAGGUACCCUCAAGACCAAAAUAUGUGGCUCUAUGAUGAUGGUUUCCUUUUUUUCUUUCUUUUUGCUGCUGAGAACAAAGUAUUCAAACUAAGGAAGAUUAUGAGUAGUCCUACUUAGUUGGAUACUGAGUUAGUAGAAUUUGAUAUCCAAAUUCUUCUAAUAUUAGAAUUCUUCUGAGUUACAUUAAUAAACUCUAUUGAGUACUAAUAGAAUAAACCUCUUUAUUCGAAAUUUUGGAUAAUUUGCAAAGGAAAUAGAAACUGUGGUUCUGUUCAUAACCUCUAAAAAUUAAACUAGGAAGGGAUGAACAAACAGAAAAAUCUGUACCUGUGAAUAUGAGGAAUAUGAGAUUUCACUUUUUCUUACAAGCAAGUCAGUGAUUUUUUUUUUUAGCUUUGUUAAUUCUUUCAGCAAAUGUUUACUGAAUAUCUGCCAUGUGCCAGGAGUAGUGCCAGGCACAGGACUCCUGCUGUCCUUGAAGAGUUUUGUGGGAUGUGCUGACCUACAGGUACAUACAGUGAGCUAUGGAAUUUUUAAGGCAAACAAUUUGAUUUAAAAGAAAUGUUUAGUUCAAUAAAGGUAACAUACGCAGAAAUUAGCUUAAGACACAGGCUUGGUCUUUAGCCUUUGAAGAAUAAAUUGGGUCAGUAGUGGUGGAAUAUGAAAUCAAAGGAAAUACUAUGUGCUUUCUAUGUAGAUGAAUAUAUGCACCAGCAUUUGGAUGUUUAAUGGUAUUCCUCUUACAGCCGUUGGACAUACCAGAUGGUCGAAGAGCUCCACUUCCUGCUCAUUACCGGAGCAGUAGUACUCGCAGCAUUGACACUCAGACUCCUUCUGUCCAGGAGCGCAGCAGUAGCUGCAGCAGUCAUUCACCCUGUGUCUCCCCUUUUUGUCCCCCGGAAUCCCAGGAUGGUAGCCCUUGCUCAACAGAAGAUUUGCUCUAUGAUCGUGAUAAAGGUCUCGUCAGCCUAUCUCGGCCCCUCUCUUUUCAUGUCCUGACAAAAACAAGGUUAAUUUCAUCCCAACCGGAUCAGCUUUCUGUCCUGUAAAACUUCUAGGCCCCCUCUUACCUGCUUCUGACCUUAUGCUCAAGAACUCUCCUAACUCUGGCCAGAGCUCAGCUUUGGCAACUCUGACCGUUGAGCAGCUCUCAUCCCGGGUUUCCUUUACGUCUCUUUCUGAUGACACCAGCACAGCGGGCUCCAUGGAGGCCUCUGUCCAGCAGCCAUCCCAGCAGCAGCAGCUCCUGCAGGAACUGCAGGGUGAGGACCACAUCUCUGCUCAGAACUAUGUGAUCAUCUAAAAAAGGGGGAGCUGGCCUCCACCCUAUGUUCCAUGGAUUCGGAACAAGAUUUCAGACAUCUGCAUGAGUGACAAACUUUCUGAACGCCACCACCACCAGUAAUACUUAUCAGCAUCAUAAAGUAUCUCUUAAACACUGAUCUUGGCAGGGACGGAACUCCUAUUCAGCAGUUUUUGUGGAAAGCAGUAAUGCUUGCAAAACGUGUGUGUCAUUCAGCAUUUUAAGUGGAGACUAUGCAUUUCAUAGUAUAUUUGACAGAUUAGUACUGUGUCCUGUGUUUUGUUCCAGAUUCUUCAGUAUAAAUAAGCUCUAUAUCAAAAAGUUGCCUGUCUAAAUAGAAAAUGUCUUGCUGUGUUUUGUCCUAUGGAAAAUACUGUAAUUCAGGAUUAUGUUUACAAUUGAUCCAGGUGUUUGUUUCUAACUUCUGUAAUACAUACAAUGCAAAAAAAAAAAAAAAAAAAAUGGCCACAACAGUUGCACAGUGCCCACCCUAUGGCCUAGCUUCAGGUACUUCAGUUGAAGUCUAAACUCAGGUAACUUGGAAUGUAUAUCAUAUUGGGAUAUUAACUAUUUCACAGCUAAAAAGCUAAAGAGGGAACAUCACUCUUUUGCCUUUCCUUAUUUUAUGCAUUUCCCUUUCCUCAUUACAUUCCACAUUCUUAGAAUAAGAAGUGCAUUCAAUCCUAGGAGAAUGAUAAUCCUGGACAUGGGUGAACAUGAGGAGAACCAGCAAAAUCUGUGGUGUUUGACAUCACUUUGUCAUGUGGUUACAAGUAAAACAACUGUUGCAUUCACUGUUUCAACAUGUGUACAUGUGGCUUUUUUAAAAGUUCAGGUGUUGCUCAGUAAAGGACUGUGACAAUGUUGCAAAUAAAGUGUUCAGUACUGGACUGUACAUAAACAUUCCACAUUGUGUGUGAUGAAAUUUAAAGACAAGAAUGUCUAGAGUUAAUUUCAAAAUAAGUGAAGUGUUUGACGGAAUGGUUGAGAUUUUUUUGUUUAUGUUAGCCAUCAGGGUCAUAACUGUUACCAUUUUAUCUAAAGACAGAUUUAUAUUUAGUUUCUCCCUUGGAAAUUCUUUAUUUUGCAGGUGAAAAAGUGACAUACUUUUUGUUAUUGUCUUCCUCAAGCAGUUUAGGUGCAUGAUCUUCAUUUACAUAGAAUACUUGGGUCUCAGAAUUGAUGCAACAUAAGCAGGUUUUUUGGUGACUUACAAGAGCUAUAGUUUGAAGCUAUCUCAUUUAAGCCUCUCAUAAUACAUAAUCAUGAGUAGUUUUGAAAUUUGCAACCUGUGAGGUAGAGCAUAAACUCAAGAAAAUAGCCUUGAACUUGCAGACUUUUGACACAAGUUCUCCACAAAGUGUGAAGAGAGCCCUAGGCAUUCCUGAUUGGUCAAUGGGAGAGCCUAACUUUCAUUGUUUUUUGGAUACAAAGAGUAUCCAAAAGCGAAGUUUUUGUAUUCCACUACUUUCAGUUCAGUAAAACCUAGAGUUGUUUCAUCUGCGCCUAAAGUGUAUGGCACAAUUUUCUUAAGAAUUAGGGGAACCAGGUGCCUACAGUUAAAGGAACGUUUCAGUUCCUUUCAUUCAUUCCUGGGUUUUUCUUUUAUUUUCUAAGAAGGUUGAAGAAGGAUGAGUGAUAGAGAAGAAAGCAACACCAUUGAUUUUUUUUUUUAAGAAAUGAUAUAUAUAUGUAUAUGUUUGUGUGUGUGUGUGUGUGUGUGUGUGUGUGUGUGUGUGUGUAUUCUGUGCAUUAUUUUGUCAUGAUCUCAAUUCUCUUCUUUCCACCAAAGUUUGCCGUAAUAUUUUCUCCUGAAGGUGCAUUCUGGCUCCUUUAAAUUAGUCAGUGUUAUAUUGUAGGAGACUGUCAUGGAAAAAAGGACUCAGUUUACUUUUGUCAUUUUCACAGGGGAACCUUUUAAAACAAUCUUUUCAGCAGCAGAUACCUUUAACCCUAAUAAUCUCAGGCCUUGAUGAAAAUACUAUAUUUUGUAGAUUAUGGUUAAAGGGAGAAAAUUACUAGUUCCGUAAGAUAAAUAUGAGCUCCAUUUGACUUCUGAUAUCUGGUUUAGCAUUACAUAAUAUGUUGAUCUUACACUCUGCUUUUGUCCAAAUAAAAUGCAAUAGUAUCAAUAUCAAUUUCAGAAAAAUGGACUGAAUAUGCUUUUUUGGUGAUUAAAUCUGAUGUACGAUAUUUAUAGUGAUGUGCUUUUAUUUUCUCAUGAGAUACUAAAUAUUAAUUGUGUUGUACAUUUGUUCUUAGCAUAUAUUAAAGUUUUGAACCAAAUGUGUUAAAGCUUACGCUUUGCCAUGUAAAUUUCCCAGAAGUUGUUGAGCUCAAAUGUAUCCUACAUCCAGCUGUAGAAAUUUGUCAGAAAUUGUUUAAAUUUUGUAUAUAAUUGUACUGUUUAAUUCUAGCCAUUGCGCUGAACAGUAUUUGAGUUACCAUAUAAUAUGGCUUUACACAAGGAAAUGUGUGGCUUUUGUUUUGUAUUUUUUCAGUAUAGAAGUUCCUGUGUCUUAUUUAAAUAAAGUUAUUAGUAAAACUG
rnacentral:sRNA from 1 species